rnacentral:lncRNA from 1 species
CACCAUAACUCAUAAUUUGAUCACACAAGAAAAAUAGUUCCUCUUUAGCCAGACAGGUUUCUUUCCAUGUUUUCUUUCUGUACCUCUCUUCAGUUUGGCCAUUGUUUCAAGACACUGAGUUAAGCCAAUGCCUUCGUGGUGGAUCCCACCUCUCAUCCAUCGCCUUCCAUCACAAUAGUACCAAACUAUAUCUCUCUGCCAUCUUUGCUUUAU